GCCUGAGUGGCUCAAUCGGUUAAGCAUCUGACUUCAGCUCAGGUCAUGAUCUCGCGCUCUGUGAGUUCGAGCCCCAUGUCAGGCU
rnacentral:tRNA from 1 species